UAAAUUAAGAAUACGUAAGCUGCUUGUCUCGUAUGAUGUGGAUGAAAACACAUCAAAUGAUAUAAAAAGAAGUAUGUUCUUGAUCCUGAACAACUCUGUUCACCAGCUGAAAAUACAAAAAAACAGCAAUUACAAUGAUGGCUAUAGUGGCAGUUAUUUAAGAAGCUGACUCUUGCACAGUGGACACACCAAGAGGCAGAGAAAGGAGAAGCAGAACCAGGGGCAUUCAGAAAUGUCUGAGUUGUAUCUACCAACACCCUUUGAUUCUGGAGGAUUCCAAAGCUCUUCCUGAGUUGUAUCACGUUGCAGAUGGACACAACCAAGAUAACAGCUGUUUGCUGCCCUUCUAAAGAAACAUCCAGAACUUUUAAAAACACAGAAUGACUGUUCUCUUUUUCACUUUGUUAAUUAGACCUACACAGGAAGGACAUUUACCAACAGGAUGUAACGCUAUUUCUCAAGAAACAUAUUGCACCUUCUCGACCCCGAAGCAAGACGAAUUACUGCUAUUGGCUUUCUACACACAGAGUAAGAUGCAGAAGUGCAAGAAAGAGGAAUAGGCAGCAACAAAGAGGGAUAAGCAGCAUCAACUUCUGAAUUAGCUCCAAAUGUUUUUUACUCGUAAUUUUGUUCACAGGUGACGCUUUCCUUAGUUAGGGUUAGCUGCUAAUUAAACGACAUUUUAGCACUGCUAGUGUUUAAACACUUGUUAGUUCGCAGCACUGAAGUCUGUAUCUCUGCAUCAAUAUAUCUGUUGUAUGUUUGUCCAGUAGAAAUGCUUGAAUACAGUUGUAUUUAGCUUCUCCAGUUCCAGCAAUCCCUUAAUUCCUUUUACUUCCUACACCGUGGGUGAAUGGAAUGACUGUGAAAGGCCAGAGUGAAUAUGUCUUCGUCCUUAUUCCCCCAAUGCAGGG